rnacentral:rRNA from 1 species
CCUACGGGAGGCAGCAGUGAGGAAUAUUGGUCAAUGGACGCAAGUCUGAACCAGCCAAGUAGCGUGCAGGAUGACGGCCCUCCGGGUUGUAAACUGCUUUUAGUUGGGAAUAAAAGGGGGCUCGUGAGCCCCGUAUUGUAUGUACCAUCAGAAAAAGGACCGGCUAAUUCCGUGCCAGCAGCAGCGGUAAUACGGAAGGUCCGGGCGUUAUCCGGAUUUAUUGGGUGUAAAGGGAGCGUAGGCCGGCUUUCGAGUCAGCUGUGAAAGUCCGCGGCUCAACCGUAAAAUUGCAAUUGAUACUGGCAGUCUUGAGUACAGUUGAGGUAGGCGGAAUUCGUGGUGUAGCGGUGAAAUGCUUAGAUAUCACGAAGAACUCCGAUUGCGAAGGCAGCUUACUAAACUGCCACUGACAUUGAUGCUCGAAAGUGUGGGUAGCAAACAGGAUUAGAUACCCGAGUAGUC